rnacentral:lncRNA from 1 species
UUUUUUUUUNACAAUACUAUACUAUACAAUACUAUACUAUACUAUACUAUACUAUACUAUACUAUACUAUAUGCCAAUAUUACUGCUCUCACUAUAUAAGGCCUAGUGUGUGUGUGUGUGUGUGUGUGUGUGUGAUUGAGAUAUAGAGCAUUAGCUGGUGUCAGGAGUAAAUUAGAGGCCGGAGCGCUGCCUUAAUCAGAGCAAUAGCACUGUGUUAGAGGAAUUAGGUCGACAGCUGCUGACUGCUCCCUCCUCUCUCUCUCUCUUUCUCUUUCCCCUCUCUCUCGUUCACUCUCUCUCCCUCAUUUCUCUCUCCCUCCCUCCCUCUCUCUCUUUCCCCCUCUCUCUCUUUCACACUCUCUCUCCCUCAUUUACCUCUCUCUUACCCCCCUCUCUCCUUUACUCUCUCUCUCUCCCUCAUUUCUCUCUCUUGCUCACUCUCUCCCUCCCUUACUCUCCCCCCUCCUUUUCUCUCUUCCUCCUUUACUCUCUUUUCCUCCUCUCUCCCUCACUCACUUUUUCUUUCUCUCUUGCUCACCCUCCCUCAAUAUCUCCCUCUUUCACUCUCUUUCUCUCACUAUUUCUCUAAUUCUCUCUCUUUCUCUUUCUUCCUCUAGCUUUUCCUCAAUCUCACUCUUCCUCUUCCCAUCACUCUCUCACUCUCUUUCUCACUUUUCCCUUCUCUCGUUCUCUCUCCCUCUCUUUUUCUCUGCCUUUCUCUCUUGCUUACUCUAUCUUUCUCUCUCUCCCUCUUCUCACUCUCUCUCUCCCAUCUGUCACACACUCUUCUCUCUCUCACUUUUGCCAUGCUGUCUCUUCCUUGCUCUAUCACUCUCACUCUUUAUUUCUCUUUGCUUUAAACUAUUCUACUCUUUCUCUUUUUUGUCCCUUCUUUGUUUCUCAGUCUUUCACUUUCUCUUUUCUCUCCUUCCUUUUUACAGUCCUUCACACUUACCUGCAGUCUCUCUCUCUCUCUCUCUCUCUCUCUCUCUCUCUCGUGCCCGCCCGUGCCAGUCCUGUGCCUUGGCCACCUGUCAACCACCCAACCCCUCUCCCUCAAAUUCUCUAGUGUACACACACACACACACACACACACACACACUCGACCUACAGGCAAAUGCUCACACACUCACGCAUAUAUAAUGAAGGGAGAACAGCAGGAGGGCAGGGCUUUGAAUUCAUAUUUUUGUCCAUUUUUCUAUAUAUUUAACACUUUAAAUCUGACCAUACUCAGACCGUGGUGUGUGUGUGUGUGUGGCCACCUUAGGAUGAACUGAUUUGAAGAAAAAAAAAGGAAUAAAAAUAUUUUUACUGUGC